AUGGCAACUAAAAAACAAGAAGUGGCUUGCGCAAUAUAAGCGCACAUGGAUCAAGCAGAAUCCUGAUAAGGUCUGGGCAAGUAGGAAUAAGCGGCGAGCGGUUAUCCGAGGUGGACGCACUGGAACUAUUACGAAGGCAUACAUAUUGGAACUUAAGAAGCGCCAGAAGUCAUUAUGCUACUGGUGUG
rnacentral:misc_RNA from 1 species